UACGGGGGGGGCAAGCGUUGUUCGGAAUUACUGGGCGUAAAGGGUGCGUAGGUGGUGAGGUAAGUCGGAUGUGAAAUCUCCGAGCUCAACUCGGAAAUGGCAUUGGAAACUACCUUGCUUGAGGGUUGGAGGGGGGACUGGAAUACUUGGUGUAGCAGUGAAAUGCGUAGAUAUCAAGUGGAACACCAGUGGCGAAGGCGAGUCCCUGGACAACUCCUGACACUGAGGCACGAAAGCUAGGGGAGCAAACAGG
rnacentral:rRNA from 1 species